rnacentral:rRNA from 1 species
GACGAACGCUGGCGGCGUGCUUAACACAUGCAAGUCGAACGAUGAAGCUGGAGCUUGCUCCGGUGGAUUAGUGGCGAACGGGUGAGUAACACGUGAGCAAUCUGCCCUUGACUCUGGGAUAACUGCGGGAAACUGUAGCUAAUACCGGAUACUUUCACUGGAAGGCAUCUUCUGGUGAAGAAAGAAUUUCGGUCAAGGAUGAGCUCGCGGCCUAUCAGCUUGUUGGUGAGGUAAUGGCUCACCAAGGCGUCGACGGGUAGCCGGCCUGAGAGGGUGACCGGCCACGCUGGGACUGAGACACGGCCGAGACUCCUACGGGAGGCAGCAGUGGGGAAUAUUGCACAAUGGGCGCAAGCCUGAUGCAGCAACGCCGCGUGAGGGAGGACGGCCUUCGGGUUGUAAACCUCUUUUAGUAGGGAAGAAGCGAAAGUGACGGUACCUGCAGAAAAAGCACCGGCUAACUACGUGCCAGCCGCCGCCGUAA